rnacentral:lncRNA from 1 species
AUUUCCGGUUUUAUGUAAUGCAUUUAGCUCGUUCCAUUCUCAAUUCUCAUCCAUUUCGUUCGAAGCUGGCGACUAAGCAAGAUGAUCUUCAUUGCAAUCGCUUAUAUAUGCUGAACGUUUACUUCGCACCUUUAUAAUAAUGGCGAUAAAAUAAUGCUUCAGCUUGAGUGGCUAGCACGCCAAUACUGGGAAAAUGUUUACUGCAAAAUUUGUUCUUAACCACACGUUAAAAUAGUAGCGAAUAUCUUCGAUAAUUCAUUUCUGCACGAAUAUGUUAGCGAACGGUGGAACUUUUACAGACUACGACAGCAGGAAAACCAUUAGUAAAUGACUAGAAAAUUGGGGUUCAAUGAUUGAAUAAAUUUUGUUUUAUACUACAACGUUUUUUGAAUUACAAUAAAAAAUAUCGAUGAUUCUACUACACUGAUAUAUGAAAAUUAUGGAAGUACCAAAAAAAAAAAAAAACAUGAAAGAAAGAAUCUAAAACAGUUCAUCAUGUCCUAAUUCAAGACAAAAAAAGUUCAAAAAAGAACUAUUUAACCCUUAAGGAACAAUUUGAAAAAAAAAAAAAAAACAAAGAAAAUCGUUUUUGACCCAACGUAAUACAAAGUCGCUCGAGAGUUAACUCUCGAGCGUGCUACUUAAGAUGUUUAAACAUGAUUAAUACCAAACAGAGAAAAGAUAUUAGAUAAAAAUCGUCAAGAAAGAAGAGAAAUUAUGGCUAACGUUUUCUGUUACGUCCACAUUGAUCUGCAUUCAUCGAAUUUAACCGGGAUCCCAGCAGACAUCUUAAUUUUAUGAGAUUAAAGAAAAAGAUUUUCUAUCCUUGCGUUGUGGGUUGCAACUAAAUUUACAAUAAUAAUAAACAAUGUUCUCAAGAUUCAAAAAAUUAUACAAAUUCAUUGGAAAGUCGUGCAAAAAUAUACAUUAAUCUUCUGUCAUCUCAAUUUUGUACGAGUAACUAAAUAAUAUACAGAAAGCCAAAGCAGUAUACAAAAAGUCUGUGUAUGUAUGUGUGUGAUGUUGUAUGCACAAAAAGAAAGUACAUGGAAUUGUAAAUCAAUUUUAAUGAUCUUAGAAGAAGAAAAGUAUUAAAUUUUGGUAAAAAAAAAAAAAAAUACUAUUUUUGAUGAAGUGAAUUGAACAUGAGAAAGAUAUUAUUAUUACAUACAGGAUAAAUGUUUAUCGUAAUAUGUUAAAAAAAAAUA